ACUAACAAGGAUUCCCCUAGUAGCGGCGAGCGAAGCGGGAAGAGCUCAAAUUUAUAAUCUGGCACCUUCGGUGUCCGAGUUGUAAUCUCUAGAAAUGUUUUCCGCGUUGGACCGCACACAAGUCUGUUGGAAUACAGCGGCAUAGUGGUGAGACCCCCGUAUAUGGUGCGGACGCCCAGCGCUUUGUGAUACAUUUUCGAAGAGUCGAGUUGUUUGGGAAUGCAGCUCAAAUUGGGUGGUAAAUUCCAUCUAAAGCUAAAUAUUGGCGAGAGACCGAUAGCGAACAAGUACCGUGAGGGAAAGAUGAAAAGCACUUUGGAAAGAGAGUUAACAGUACGUGAAAUUGUUGGAAGGGAAACGCUUGAAGUCAGACUUGCUUGCUGAGCAAUCGGUUUGCAGGCCAGCAUCAGUUUUCCGGGAUGGAUAAUGGUAGAGAGAAGGUAGCAGUUUCGGCUGUGUUAUAGCUCUCUGCUGGAUACAUCUUGGGGGACUGAGGAACGCAGUGUGCCUUUGGCGGGGGUUUCGACCUCUUCACACUUAGGAUGCUGGUGGAAUGGCUUUAAACG
rnacentral:rRNA from 1 species